GGGCUCACACAAGCGGUGGAGGAUGUGGCUUAAUUCGAGGAUACGCGAAGAACCUUACCUAGACUUAACAUGCUUGGGAACGUCUGUGAAAGCAGAAAGUGCCUUUCGGGGAGCCCUUGCGUAGGUGCUGCAUGGCUGUCGUCAGCUCGUGUCGUGAGAUGUCGGGUUAAGUCCCUUAACGAGCGAAACCCUUGUCCUUAGUUGCCAGCGAGUAAUGUCGGGGACUCUAAGGAGACUGCCGGUGUUAAACCGGGGGAAGGUGGGGAUGACGUCAAGUCCUCAUGGCCUUUAUGUCUAGGGCUGCACACGUCCUACAAUGCACUAUACAAAGCGACGCAAAAUCGUGAGAUCGAGCAAACCGCAUAAAGUAGUGCCCAGUUCGGAUUGCAGGCUGAAAUUCGCCUGCAUGAAGCCGGAAUCGCUAGUAAUCG
rnacentral:rRNA from 1 species